rnacentral:lncRNA from 1 species
AUGAGGUCCAAGUUGUUGAUUCUUUGUAGUAUUGCCCAUGUAGUCAGGAUUUUGUUCAUGAAAUCUUUGCCUACUCCUAUGCCCUCAAGCAUUCUACUUAUUCUUUCUUCCAGCAGAUUUAUUAUUUCUGCUUUAAUAUUUGAUUUUAGUUUAGUGCAUAGUGAGAGACAUGAGUCCAGUUUUAGUCUUUGGCAUAUAGUAAGCCAGUUUUUCCAGUACCAUUUAUUAAAGAGGCUUUCUUCCAGUGAGUAUGUUAGGUCCCUUUGUCAGAUAAGGUGGCUGAGGGUGUCAGGAGUUGUUUCUGAAUCUUCUAAUCUGUUCCAAUCACAUUUCUAAAAUUGAACAUGUAAUAAAAAGAGAUGCUACUUUUUAGAGAGAAUUUAGGCUCACAGCAAAAUGGAGAGAGAGUACAGAGAUUUCCCCUAUAUUCCCUGUCUCCCAUGCAUGCAUCAUCUCCCCCAUUAUCAGCAUCCCCACAAAAGUGGUACACUUUUAUAAUUGAUGAGCCUACAUUGGCACAUCUCAGUCAUGCAAAGGUCCACAAUUUGCAUCAGGGUUCCCUCUUGGAGUUGUAUGUUUUGUGGGUUUGGACAAAUGUAUAUGACACAUAUCUACCAUUACAGUAUGCUACACAGUAGUUUCACUGUCCUACAAAUCUUCUGUGUCUUACCUAGUCAUCCAUUCUCACCACCACCACUUCAACCUCUGUCAACUACUAACAUUUUUAGUGCCUCUAUACUUUUAGCUUUUCUAGACUGUCAUAUCCUUGGAAGCAAACAGUGUGUAGCUUGUUCAUACUGAAUUCUUUCAGUUAAUAAUUAGCACUGAAGGUUCUUCAUAGCUUUUUAUGGCUUGAUAGCUCAUUUCUUUUUUAUGCUGAAUGAUAUCUCACUGCCUGGGUGCACUACACAUUACUUAUCCAUUCACCUACUGAAGGACAUCUUGGUUGCUCCCAAAUAACAAUUAUGAAUAAAGCUGCUGUAAACAUCCAUGUGAAGAUUUUGUGUGGACAUAGGUUUUCAACAUCUUUGGGUGGAUACUGAAGAACACAAUUGCUGGACCAUAUGGGAAGAAUAUAUUUAGUUUUGCAGCAAAACUGUCACACUGUCUUCCAAAGCGAUUGUGCCACUUCCUAUACCCACCAGCGAUAAAUGAGAAUUCCUGCUCCUGCUGCUCUUUCCUCUCCUGUGUUUGGUGGAGUCAAUAUCCUGGGUGUUGGGUAUUCUAAUAAGUAUGUAGUGGCAUCUUGUUUUCAUUUGCAAUUCCUUGAUGAUAUAUGAUGUGGAGUUUCUUUCCAUAUGUUCAUUUUUAUAUCUUCCUCCAUCUGUGUGUCUUCCUUAGUGAGGUGCUUGUAAAAGUGUCUGGUCCAUUUUAACAUCAUGUUGUAUAGUGUUGAGAUGUAAGAGUUCCUUGUGUAUUUUAGGUAACAAAAGUCCUUUAUUAGAUUAUCUUUUGCAAAUAUUUUCUCUUGGUCCAUGUCUUGUCUUCUCAUGCUCUUGGCAGUGUCCAUUGCAAAGCAAUUUUUAAUUUCAAUGAAGUCUUGCUAAUCCAUUCUUUUUUUCAUUUUUGAUUUUGUGUCUAAAGUCAUUAUCAUGGCCAAGGUCAGGGAGGUUUUGUCCUAUGAAACUCUAGGGGUUCUGUAUUUUUAUGUUUCAUUUAAGUUUGUGAUCCAUUUUCAGUUAAUUUUUGUGAAAAAUGUAAGGUCCUUGUCUAGAUUUUCUUUUGCAUGUAGAUGCCCAGUUGUACCAGAAUCAUUUAUUCCAAAGACUACCUUUAUUCCAUUGUAGUGCCAUUGUUCCAAUAGUUAGUGAUGUUCACUGGAGUUUGUAUCUGCCUAUGUAUUCUUCAUUGAUCAAUUCGUUUAUGUUUUCACCAGUAUCACAUUGACUUUAUUACUGUAGUUUUUGGCUUGUUUUUGUUUCUGUGGUACAGGAAUUGAACCUAAGGCCUUUUCUCUGAGCUACCCUCUAGCCUUUCAUUUCUCUUUUUUUUUAAUUUUUAAAUUAAUUUUAUUGGUACAUUUUAGGUAUACAAUUCAUUUACAUUUAUCAUUGGGUGUUUUUACCUGUACAUGAUGUAUCUUGGUUCUUAUUUUUUCCCCCAUUACCUGUGUGCCCUUCACCCCCUCCACCCUUCCCUAUUUACAUAGAUUUCAUUUCCAUUUUUUUUUUCUUUUCUCAUAGUUUUUCCUUUCCCUCUUUUCCUUUCCCCUUCCCCUCCCUUCACUCCUUCAU